AAUAAAAUAAAGAAAGAA
rnacentral:sRNA from 1 species